rnacentral:rRNA from 1 species
AGUGAACGCUGGCGGUAGGCCUAACACAUGCAAGUCGAACGGCAGCACAGUAAGAGCUUGCUCUUACGGGUGGCGAGUGGCGGACGGGUGAGGAAUACAUCGGAAUCUACUUUUUCGUGGGGGAUAACGUAGGGAAACUUACGCUAAUACCGCAUACGACCUACGGGUGAAAGCAGGGGAUCUUCGGACCUUGCGCGAUUGAAUGAGCCGAUGUCGGAUUAGCUAGUUGGCGGGGUAAAGGCCCACCAAGGCGACGAUCCGUAGCUGGUCUGAGAGGAUGAACAGCCACACUGGAACUGAGACACGGUCCAGACUCCUACGGGAGGCAGCAGUGGGGAAUAUUGGACAAUGGGCGCAAGCCUGAUCCAGCCAUACCGCGUGGGUGAAGAAGGCCUUCGGGUUGUAAAGCCCUUUUGUUGGGAAAGAAAAGCAGCAGGUUAAUACCUCGCUGUUCUGACGGUACCCAAAGAAUAAGCACCGGCUAACUUCGUG